rnacentral:rRNA from 1 species
UACGUAGGCAGCAAGCGUUGUUCGGAGUUACUGGGCGUAAAGGGUGUGUAGGCGGUUCCUUAAAUUUGCUGUGAAAUCUCCCGGCUUAACCGGGAGGGUGCGGUGAAUACUGAGGGACUAGAGUACGGGAGAGGAAAGUGGAAUUCCUGGUGUAGCGGUGAAAUGCGUAGAUAUCAGGAGGAACACCGGUGGUGUAGACGGCUUUCUGGACCGUAACUGACGCUGAGACACGAAAGCGUGGGUAGCAAACAGG